rnacentral:rRNA from 1 species
UGGGGAAUAUUGGGCAAUGGGCGAAAGCCUGACCCAGCCACGCCGCGUGAGUGAUGAAGGCCUUCGGGUCGUAAAGCUCUGUGGGGAGGGACGAAUAAGCUGGGUGCUAACAUCACCUGGCCCUGACGGUACCUCCUUAGCAAGCACCGGCUAACCCUGUGCCAGCAGCCGCGGUAAUACAGGGGGUGCAAACGUUGCUCGGAAUCAUUGGGCGUAAAGCGCACGUAGGCGGUCUGUUAUGUCGGAUGUGAAAGCCCUUGGCUCAACUGAGGAAGUGCAUCCGAAACUGGCAGGCUAGAGUACUAAAGAGGGUCGCGGAAUUCCCGGUGUAGAGGUGAAAUUCGUAGAUAUCGGGAGGAACACCGGUGGCGAAGGCGGCGACCUGGGUAGAUACUGACGCUGAGGUGCGAAAGCGUGGGGAGCAAACA